AGUUCUAUGCAAGCACUUCACGAGGCAUUGUUUCAAGAGCUUUUGUGAAGUGUUUGGGGGAACUCU